UACGGGGGGAGCAAGCGUUGUUCGGAUUUACUGGGCGUAAAGGGCUCGUAGGCGGCCAACUAAGUCAGACGUGAAAUCCCCAGGCUCAACCUGGGAACUGCGUCUGAUACUGGUUGGCUUGAAUCCGGGAGAGGGAUGCAGAAUUCCAGGUGUAGCGGUGAAAUGCGUAGAUAUCUGGAGGAAUACCGGUGGCGAAGGCGGCAUCCUGGACCGGCAUUGACGCUGAGGAGCGAAAGCUAGGGGAGCAAACGGG
rnacentral:rRNA from 1 species